rnacentral:tRNA from 1 species
GGGCCCAUAGCUCAGCAUGGUAGAGCACCUGGCUUUUAACCAGAGCGUCGUGGGUUCAAAUCCCACUGGGCUCA